UCUCUGAUGGCUCAGAUGGUAAAGCGUCUGCCUACAAUGCAGGAGACCUGGGUUUGAUCCCUGGUUCAGGAA
rnacentral:tRNA from 1 species